AAACAUGCAAUUUAAAUUUAUUUCAAAUCUGCUACCCACAGUGUUUGAGCCAGGGCCUAACUUUGGGUCUUUUUGCAUAUUGCCUUAAACCUAGAAAUGCUACCCUGCAAACAGGGAAGGGGAAAGAGGAAGGUGUUAAUCCGAAGUAAGUGGGAGACAGAGGAACCUCAUGCACAGUUACAGAAGGCAGGUUUGCUGUUUUAACCCAGAUAGAGGGGUUUCUACUCUUAUUUCUAGGAACACGACGACACUGGUUGUGGGAGGGAGAGAGAAGGGAUCUUUGGUUUCUCCUAAUUCUAGAAUCAUUAAUGCACUGGCAUCCAGAGGGUGGGUAAUAGAAAUGUCUGUGGGUAGUUGGUAUGCACAAAUGGCCCAUCAGCUAACUCAUCAAGCUGGUAGGAAUCUGAGCGCACAGGUGGGCUGCGGCAGGCAGCAGUCCUGGGCUCCUCACAGCUGUGUGCUACCUAGCAGGGAACAAAAAAGAAAGUGGACUCACACAGACCUGCAGAAAUGCAGACAGGGUGUGAAGAGGGUUUAAAUUUCUAAUAUGGCGGACCAGAAUGUCUUGAUCUAUUUCUAGGCCAUCUAUUCUAUUCCGGUGGUCUAUUUGCUUACUUCUAAACAAAUGCCAUACAAUGUGGUGGCUUUAUAGUAUAAAAGCGUUUAACAACAGGUUUAUGUAUUUAAAUUCAACAGAGAUCAUCUAAUGCAAUAACUUGUGCUAACGGGUUAACUCCGUCGUACAGAACUCAGACUAAAACUCGUCUUUCCAACUCUGCGUAUGUAUUUGAACUUUCUACAACCAUUAAUAACAGAAAUAAUUGAAUGCUAGACUAAUACUGUGUAAAGGAGCAAUGGUCAAUCUUAAUCUGAUUACAAAAGUUUGAAAAAAGAAGCCUCACUCUUCUGAUUGCCAUUAUAAUAAGUGAUGGCUAUACUAUUGAAUUUGUAAAGUUAUCCUAAUCAAAUACUACUUUUCUAAUUUAUAUAUAUUUUUAUAUACAUGACUCCAAAUAAGACUGUUUAUAAAAUGGGUUCCAUCCAGUACAAGUUUUUAAACUACUGUUGUAACACAUAAAUUUGUGCUGCCUCCAACAGCAAUGAUUCAACUGUUAGUCUGAUUACAUCAUUCACAUUAUCACCAAGUAUAUCCUCUAAAGUGUCUAAUUAUCACUUUUAUAAAGCACAUUCACAAAGUUUUGCAUUCAUCACCACUACCCAGUUCCUGUUUGUCUGAUUUUUAUUAUUUAAAAAAAUGGAAAAACAAAAGUGCAUUUUUCAUUCAAUAAAUGUUCCAUCCUUAUUUAGUUUUGUUGCCGAAAGUGAAGUCCAUGACUUUAGAAUGAUAGCAAUUUAUCAACCAAAGAAUCCGUCUUCACACCGUUUCAAUAACUGCAGCAAUUUCCUUGAACUGUCUGUAGAAAUUCUGGAGAGAAAGGGGGAAAAUAAUCACAAACCUGAAACUGUGGAAUCGUCAUUUCAAAGCACUUGGUCUUUACUUGGCCUGAAUGAUCUGCCACUUUUAGCAUCACUGCAACGUAAGGAUACUUAAGAGAUCUGCAAGUGUCUGAGCUCACAGCCAUACCCAGUUUCCACUGAAAAUCUACAAGCUGGUUGGAACUCACAUCGGACUUAGCAUCCAGCGGCGGCUCGCUGGACGCCUCCAUGGGCAGCGUCUGGGACUUGCGGCCCGGACUCGAGAGAACGCCCCCAGACC
rnacentral:lncRNA from 10 species